rnacentral:rRNA from 1 species
GGUGAGUAACACGUGGGUAACCUACCCAUCAGAGGGGGAUAACACUUGGAAACAGGUGCUAAUACCGCAUAACAGUUUAUGCCGCAUGGCAUAAGAGUGAAAGGCGCUUUCGGGUGUCGCUGAUGGAUGGACCCGCGGUGCAUUAGCUAGUUGGUGAGGUAACGGCUCACCAAGGCCACGAUGCAUAGCCGACCUGAGAGGGUGAUCGGCCACACUGGGACUGAGACACGGCCCAGACUCCUACGGGAGGCAGCAGUAGGGAAUCUUCGGCAAUGGACGAAAGUCUGACCGAGCAACGCCGCGUGAGUGAAGAAGGUUUUCGGAUCGUAAAACUCUGUUGUUAGAGAAGAACAAGGACGUUAGUAACUGAACGUCCCCUGACGGUAUCUAACCAGAAAGCCACGGCUAACUACGUGCCAGCAGCCGCGGUAAUACGUAGGUGGCAAGCGUUGUCCGGAUUUAUUGGGCGUAAAGCGAGCGCAGGCGGUUUCUUAAGUCUGAUGUGAAAGCCCCCGGCUCAACCGGGGAGGGUCAUUGGAAACUGGGAGACUUGAGUGCAGAAGAGGAGAGUGGAAUUCCAUGUGUAGCGGUGAAAUGCGUAGAUAUAUGGAGGAACACCAGUGGCGAAGGCGGCUCUCUGGUCUGUAACUGACGCUGAGGCUCGAAAGCGUGGGGAGCAAACAGGAUUAGAUACCCUGGUAGUCCACGCCGUAAACGAUGAGUGCUAAGUGUUGGAGGGUUUCCGCCCUUCAGUGCUGCAGCAAACGCAUUAAGCACUCCGCCUGGGGAGUACGACCGCAAGGUUGAAACUCAAAGGAAUUGACGGGGGCCCGCACAAGCGGUGGAGCAUGUGGUUUAAUUCGGAGCAACGCGAAGAACCUUACCAGGUCUUGACAUCCUUUGACCACUCUAGAGAUAGAGCUUUCCCUUCGGGGACAA